CGCUCUUGUAGUGUGGCCGAAUGAGAUCUCAGUAGAAGCUUCCAACUACUUUAGUCAACUUUAGAUUAGACCUCAGAUCAGGCAGGAUUACCCGCUGAACUUAAGCAUAUCAAUAAGCGGAGGAAAAGAAACUAACAAGGAUUCCCCUAGUAACGGCGAGUGAAGCGGGAAGAGCUCAAAUUUGUAAUCUGGCACUUUCAGUGUCCGAGUUGUAAUCUCGAGAAGUAUUUUCCGCGCCGGACCGCAUACAAGUCUGUUGGAAUACAGCGUCAUAGUGGUGAGAACCCCGUAACUGAUGCGGAUGCCCGGUGCUUUGUGAUAUACUUUCGAAGAGUCGAGUUGUUUGGGAAUGCAGCUCAAAUUGGGUGGUAAAUUCCAUCUAAAGCUAAAUAUUGGAGCAAGACCGAUAGCGAACAAGUACCGUGAGGGAAAGAUGAAAAGCACUUUGGAAAGAGAGUUAACAGUACGUGAAAUUGUUGGAAGGGAAACGCUUGAAGUCAGACUUGCUAUUCGGAGUUCAGCCGCAAGGUGUAUUCUUCGAUUUGCAGGCCAGCAUCAGUUUUUGGGGGUGGAAAAUCGUGGUUUGAAGGUAGCAGUUUCGGCUGUGUUAUAGCUUUCCACUGGAUUCAUCUUCGGGGACUGAGGAACGCAGUACGCUUUUUGCAAGGCUCUCGAGCUUUUCGUACUUAGGAUGCUGGUGGAAUGGCUUUAAACGACCCGUCUUGAAACACGGACCAAGGAGUCUAACAUGCUUGCGAGU
rnacentral:rRNA from 1 species